rnacentral:rRNA from 1 species
GAUGAACGCUGGCGGCGUGCCUAAUACAUGCAAGUCGAGCGAACAGACGAGGAGCUUGCUCCUCUGACGUUAGCGGCGGACGGGUGAGUAACACGUGGAUAACCUACCUAUAAGACUGGGUUAACUUCGGGAAACCGGAGCUAAUACCGGAUAAUAUAUUGAACCGCAUGGUUCAAUAGUGAAAGACGGUUUUGCUGUCACUUAUAGAUGGAUCCGCGCCGCAUUAGCUAGUUGGUAAGGUAACGGCUUACCAAGGCGACGAUGCGUAGCCGACCUGAGAGGGUGAUCGGCCACACUGGAACUGAGACACGGUCCAGACUCCUACGGGAGGCAGCAGUAGGGAAUCUUCCGCAAUGGGCGAAAGCCUGACGGAGCAACGCCGCGUGAGUGAUGAAGGUCUUCGGAUCGUAAAACUCUGUUAUUAGGGAAGAACAAAUGUGUAAGUAACUAUGCACGUCUUGACGGUACCUAAUCAGAAAGCCACGGCUAACUACGUG